rnacentral:rRNA from 1 species
GACGAACGCUGGCGGCGUGCCUAAUACAUGCAAGUAGGACGCAGUUGCGAACGGGUGAGUAACGCGUAGGUAACUGCCUAUUAGAGGGGGAUAACUAUUGGAAACGAUAGCUAAUACCGCAUACUAGUAGAUGGACCUGCGUUGUAUUAGCAAGUAGGUAGGUAAAUGGCCUACCUAGGAGACGAUACAUAGCCGACCUGAGAGGGUGACCGGCCACACUGGGACUUAGACACGGCCCAUACUCCUACGGGAGGCAGCCGUAGGGAAUCUUCGGCAAUGGGGGGAACCCUGACCGCGCAACGCCGCGGGAGUGAAGAAGGUUUUCGGAUCGUAAAGCUCUGUUGUUAAGGAAGCGGUACUUAACCAGAAAGGGACGGCUAACUACGUGCCAGCAGCCGCGGUAAUUC